UCAUCAUCUUCCUGCGACACUGAGUCCUCUAUGUGUGGAGAACCCUGUGGAACAGUAGAAGGGCUAUCUGUGGCAAAGGAACGAGCGUCGCGGAUUGAGACAGAGCCGAGGUUAUGCUAUCAACUGUAUCUGUUGUGAGGGAAGAUCGUGAGGCUUUCUCUUGUGGACGACUUCACGCAAGCAGCGUUCCUAAGCUGUUGGUGUAGUCACAUACACCACGGGACCCAGUAGGAAGGUAGCAAGUUAGAUAAUUGCAAACCAUCCCUAGAGAUAGCUCUUUGAAAGAUUAGCUAGCCUGUUGGCUAACGUAGUAGGGUUACCCAGCUAACGUUGGGCUACUGCUGGGGAAAUACGACUCUAAGAGAGAGAGAGAGCCCGGCAUCCACAGCCUCGAGUUCUGCUUCAUUUGGGCUUAACGACGUUCUACCUGAGAGGAGGAAAUACAAACCGAUGAUAGAGGGACCUUGUCAUUAGACGUCACAUUACAAUUUCUGAGUGCCCAGACUCCAACAGCCGUGGAAUUCACCAGUAGAGGAGCAGCAGUGCCCUGAGGGGGACCGAUAGACUCAAUGCCAAGCCUUUCUCCUCCUCAGACAGCUUAGUGAAGGUGCAGGAGGUAGCAAGCUGGCUUUUGGAAAUGAACCAGGAUCUGCUGUCGGGGGGCAGCAGGC